GACGAACGCUGGCGGCGUGCCUAAUACAUGCAAGUCGAACGCAGUGGGGACGGGUGAGUAACACGUGGGUAACCUGCCCAUCAGAGGGGAUAACACUUGGAAAAAGGUGCUAAACCGAUAUUGAUGGAUGGUCCCGCGGUGCAUUAGCUAGUUGGUGGGGUAACGGCUCACCAAGGCCACGAUGCAUAGCCGGCCUGAGAGGGUGACCGGCCACACUGGAACGGAGACACGGCCCAGACUCCUACGGGAGGCAGCAGUGGGGAAUCUUCGGCAAUGGACGAAAGUCUGACCGAGCAACGCCGCGUGAGUGAAGAAGGUUUUCGGAUCGUAAAACACUGUUGUUAGAGAAGCGGUAUCUAACCAGAAAGCAACGGCUAACUACGUGCCAGCAGCCGCGGUAAUUC
rnacentral:rRNA from 1 species